AGUGGAAUUAAGUAUAUUUCCAUUGGUGUGCAAAUAUCAACAUCUGUCAAGAACAUUUCUCAUCUUCCCAAAGGGAAAUUAUGUGCUCAUUAUAAUUUUUCAUUUUCUUUUGCUGCAGCCUUGACUUUGUAUCCAUGAUUUUGACAACUAUGUUUACUUAAGAGUCUCACUGUUGCCCAGGUUGUUUUGAACUCUUCGACUCAAGUGAUCCUCCUGCUUUUUCCUCUGAAAUUGGUAGGACUACCAGUAGGUGUCAUCACACUCAGGAUAGCAGAGCCUUUGAGAGAAGAGUAAAUCUGUGCUCUGCCUUUCCGUAUUAUCUCUGGAACAGCAGAGCCUGACAGAGGAGAGUAAAUCUGCACUCUGCACUUCAUCCAUUAUCUCUGGGACAGCAGAGCCUGCUAGAGGCCUGUGAGAGGAGUGUAAGGACACCCGCCUUUGUCAGGUGAACUAACCAGAACUCCAAGACCUGAGACCCAGGACAACAGCUGAGCCCAGGGUGCCGGGACACACACAGUCCUUCGGAGAGCAGAGUAAUCAGCAAGACCCGCAAUGUGGAAGAGUCUGAAUCAGCAGGGAGGAGGCAGCAGUUGGACUCUGGAGAACUCCACCAGUAGGAAUCCAGUCCCAGCCCCCACAUUCAGAGGCCAAGAUCUGCUCCAUACCCACCCCAUUUCUAGGAUUAAAUAUGGACACUAUCACAGAACUGUAAACACCAGAGGUUGGAGAACACAGAAGAAAUGGACAGAUUCCUAGAGAUGUAUGAAUUACCCAACCCAAAUCAAGAAGAUACAAAAAUUCUCAAUAACCCCAAUAUCAGUUAAUGAGGUGGGAAAUGUCAUUAAAAAUUUAGCAACAAAGAAAAGCUCAAGGCUUGAUGGACUCAUUGCUAAAUUCUGCAGGAAAUUUAGAGAAGAGUUAAUGCCAAUACUCUUCAAACACUCGAAUGAAAUUAAAAGGGAAGCAAUACUUCCUAAUUCAUUCUUGGAGGCGAGUAUUACCCUGAUACCAACACCAGAGAAAGACCCAAGUAAAAAAGAACUACUGUCCAAUCUCCCUAUGCACAUAGAGACAAAAAUCCUCAAGACACUACCAAGCAGAAUUUAACAAAUCAUCAAGAUUAUACACUGUAACCAACUGGGAUUUAUGCUAGGAAUGUAGAGAUGGCUCAACAUAUGCAAAUCAAUAAAUAGAAUACACCAUGUCAACAAAGCUGGACACAGAAAUCACACGAUCAUCUCAAUACAUGCAGAAAAAGCUUUUGAUAAAGUCCAGCACACAUUCAUAAUAAAA